rnacentral:misc_RNA from 1 species
AUAGAUAAAUAAGUUGUCAAGUACAACUAUUAGCAUUUUUAGUUUCUUGGUUUUCUUCAAAAAUAACUAAUCCAUCUUUUCAUAGUUGUUGUUUGUACUUAGAUAAGCAAAAUUCUAUAAUGAAAAGCAUGUAUUAUUUUUUAAGUUAAAAAAACAAUGUUUUUGCUUUGAAUACUAUCAAAAUUCAUGGAAGUAUAAAGCAUUUUAGAGCUUUACUCAAAUUCAUGCAAAUGCAGAUUAGAUGCAUUACUA